GACGAACGCUGGCGGCGUGCCUAAUACAUGCAAGUAGAACGCUGAAGAGAGGAGCUUACUCUUCUUGGAUGAGUUGCGAACGGGUGAGUAACGCGUAGGUAACCUGCCUUGUAGCGGGGGAUAACUAUUGGAAACGAUAGCUAAUACCGCAUAACAAUGGAUGACACAUGUCAUUUAUUUGAAAGGGGCAAUUGCUCCACUACAAGAUGGACCUGCGUUGUAUUAGCUAGUAGGUGAGGUAAUGGCUCACCUAGGCGACGAUACAUAGCCGACCUGAGAGGGUGAUCGGCCACACUGGGACUGAGACACGGCCCAGACUCCUACGGGAGGCAGCAGUAGGGAAUCUUCGGCAAUGGGGGCAACCCUGACCGAGCAACGCCGCGUGAGUGAAGAAGGUUUUCGGAUCAUAAAGCUCUGUUGUAAGUCAAGAACGGGUGUGAGAGUGGAAAGUUCACACUGUGACGGUAGCUUACCAGAAAGAGACGGCUAACUACGUG
rnacentral:rRNA from 1 species